UGGGAUGUAGCUCAGUGGCAAAGCACUUGCCUAGCAAGUGCAAUGUUCUGAGUUCGAUUCCCAGUAUCCCCC
rnacentral:tRNA from 1 species